rnacentral:rRNA from 1 species
GCGUUGUUCGGAAUUACUGGGCGUAAAGCGCACGCAGGCGGUUCGGUCAGUCAGAAGUGAAAGCCCCGGGCUUAACCUGGGAACUGCUUUUGAUACUGCCGAGCUUGAAUCACGGAGAGGGUAGUGGAAUUCCGAGUGUAGAGGUGAAAUUCGUAGAUAUUCGGAAGAACACCAGUGGCGAAGGCGACUACCUGGCCGUCGAUUGACGCUCAUGUGCGAAAGCGUG